AUGAUCCUGGGGGCUGUGGUGGUCCUGGAGUCCGGGUGGGGGUCCUUGGGGUCUCUGAUCCGCGGGGGGGGGAUCCCAGGGUCUGGUCAGGGGUCCCUGGGGUCUAUGAUGCACGGGGAGGAGUUCCGAGGUCCCCAUUCAGGGUGGGGGUGCUCGUCCCCAGGGGUCGGACAGGGGUCCCGGAGGGGAUGGGGGUGCGCGUGCGGGGCGGGAAUCGGGGGCGCGUGCAGGCGAGGCUGGGGCGCGUGCAGGAGGGGCGGGGGCGCGCUCGGGGGGGGGUGGGAGUCGGGGGCGCGUGCUCGCUCGAGACGGGGGCGCGCGCAAGAGGGGCGGGGGCGCGCGGGGAGUCGGAGGCGCGCGUGGAGAGUCGGGGACGCGCGCGAGGUGGGAAUCAGGGGCGUGCGCAGUGGAGCGGGGGCGCGCUCGGGGCGGGAGUUGGGGCGCGCUCUGGGGAGUCGGGGACGCGCUCUGGAGAGUCGGGGACGCGUGGGGGCGGGGGCGUGCUCGGGGCGGGAGUCGGGGUUGUGCGCGGGGCGGGGGCGCGCGCGGGGCGGGAGUCGGGGGCUCCGGCAGGCGAGGCUGGGGCGCGGGCGCACUCGGCAGGGGGGGGGGGAGUCGGGGGCGCGCGCGCGAGACGGGGGCGCGCGCAGGAGGGGCUGGGGAACACAGGAGAGUCGGGGGCGCGCGCGCGGGGCUGGAGUCGGGGCGCGCGCGGGACUCAGGGCGCGAGCAGGGGCGGGGGCGCGCUGGGGAGUCGGGGGCGCGCUCAGGGCGGGGAGCGUGGGCACGCGCGGGGGGGCGGGCCGUGGGCGCGCUCAGGGCGUGGGCGCGCUCGGGAGGGUCGGGGACGCUCGGGGAGCGGGGGCGCGAGCGCGGGGCAGGAGUCGGGGGCGCGCUGGGGCGUGGGCGCGCUCUGGGAGUCGGGGGCGCGCGCAGGGCGGGGGCGCGCUCUGGAGAGUCGGGGACGCGUGGGGGCGUGGGCGCGCUCGGGGCGGGAGUUGGGGGCGCGCGCAGGGCGGGGAUGCGCUCGGGGCGGGAGUCGGGGGCGCGCUCGGGGCGGGAGUCGGGGGCGCGCGCAGGGCGGGGGCGCGCGCGGGCGGGGCGCGCGCCGGGCGGGAGUCGGGGGCGCGCGUGGAGAGUCCGGGACGCGCGCGAGGUGGGAAUCAGGGGCGUGCGCAGUGGAGCGGGGGCGCGCUCGGGGCGGGAGUUGGGGGCGCGCUCUGGGGAGUCGGGGACGCGUGGGGGCGGGGGCUUGCUCGGGGCGGGAGUCGGGGUUGCGCGCGGGGCGGGGGCGCGCGGGGGCGGGAGUCGGGGGCGCGGGCAGGCGAGGCUGGGGCGCGGGCGCACUCGGCAGGGGGGUGGGAGUCGGGGGCGCGCGCGCGAGACGGGGGCGCGUGCAGGAGGGGCUGGGGAGCACGGGAGAGCCGGGGGCGCGCGCGCGGGGCUGGAGUCGGGGCGCGCGCGGGACUCAGGGCGCGAGCAGGGGCGGGGGCGCGCUGGGGAGUCGGGGGCGCGCUCAGGGCGGGGAGCGUGGGCGCGCGCGGGGGGGCGGGCCGUGGGCGUGCGCAGGGCGGGGGCGCGCUCUGGAGAGUCGGGACGCGUGGGGCGUGGGCGCGCUCGGGGCGGGAGUCGGGGGCGCGCGCAGGGCGGGGAUGCGCUCGGGGCGGGGAGUCGGGGGCGCGCUCGGGGCGGGAGUCCGGGGCGCGCGGGGGGGGGCGUGGGCGCGCUCGGGGCGGGAGUCGGGGGCGCGCGCGGGGCGGGGGCGCGCGCGGGCGUGGGCGCGCUCGGGCGGGAGUCGGGCGCGCGCGCAGGGCGGGGGCGCGCUCGGGAGGGUCGGGGACGCGCGGGGAGCGGGGGCGCGGGAGUCGGGGGCGCGCGGGGGCGUGGGCACGCUCGGGGCGGGAGUCGGGGGUGCGCGCAGGGCGGGGGCGCGCGCGGGGCGGGAGUCGGGGGCGCGCGCGGGGCGGGAGUCGGGGGCGCGCGGGGGCGUGGGCACGCUCGGGGCGGGAGUCGGGGGUGCGCGCAGGGCGGGGGCGCGCUCGGGGCGGGAGUCGGGGGUGCGCGCAGGGCGGGGCCGCGCGAAGGGCGGGAGUCGGGGGCGCGCGGGGGCGCGGGCGCGCGCGGGGCGGGAGGCGGGGGCGCGCGCGGGGCGGGAGUCGGGGGCGCGCGCGCGCGGGGCGGGGCGUGGGCGCGGCGCGGGGCGGGCCGGCGCGGGCGCGUUUCCGCCGUCGGGCCCGGGGCUCCGAGUCCGGCCGGCGGCGCGGAAGCGGCGGCGGCGGCGGCGGCGGCGGCGGCGGCGGCGGGGCAGCCAUGUCGCCUUUGUCCGCGGCGCGGGCGGCCCUGCGGGUGUACGCGGUGGGCGCGGCGCUGGUCGUGGCGCAGCUGCUGCGUCGCUGCGUGCGGGGCUUCGUGGAGCCAGUCUUCUCUCCACAACCGGAACGUGUUGCCAUAGUGACCGGAGGGACCGAUGGCAUUGGAUACUCGACCGCAAAGCAGCUGGCGAAGCUGGGCAUGCACGUCAUCAUAGCCGGAAAUAAUGACAGCAAAGCCCAGGACGUCGUGAGGAGGAUAAAAGAGGACACGCUCAACGACCAAGUGGAGUUUCUGUAUUGCGACCUGGCGUCCAUGAGGUCUAUCCGGGAGUUCGUCCAGACAUUCAAAAUGAAGAAGCUGCCCCUCCACGUCCUGGUGAAUAACGGUCCAACCACAACUCGAAAGGGGACGAUACUGGGAAUAUUCUGA
rnacentral:lncRNA from 1 species